UACGAAGGGUGCAAGCGUUAAUCGGAAUUACUGGGCGUAAAGCGUGCGUAGGUGGUUUGUUAAGUCUGCUGUGAAAGCCCUGGGCUCAACCUGGGAAUGGCGGUGGAUACUGACAAGCUAGAGUGCGGUAGAGGAGGGUGGAAUUCCCGGUGUAGUGGUGGAAUGCGUAGAGAUCGGGAGGAACACCAGUGGCGAAAGCGGCUCUCUGGUCCAAAACUGACGCUGAGGGGCGAAAGCGUGGGGAGCGAACGGG
rnacentral:rRNA from 1 species